rnacentral:pre_miRNA from 1 species
UAUUAAAAAUUUCAUCUAUUUCUACUAUUAAAAAUUGGUGUAAUUAACGGAGUAAUUAGAUAGUUACACGUGGCGUACCACAUAUAUUUCAUGUUGACGAAAGACCAAUUUUUAACAGUAAAAAGGAAAAUUUUUGAUA